rnacentral:rRNA from 1 species
UGAGGCAUCUCCGGGUAGGGCGCCGGCCUAAGUUCCUUGGAACAGGACGUCACAGAGGGUGAGAAUCCCGUGCUUGGCUGGCUGUCCCCGUCCAUGUGAGGUGUCUUCGACGAGUCGAGUUGUUUGGGAAUGCAGCUCAAAAUGGGUGGUAAAUUUCAUCUAAAGCUAAAUAUUGGUGGGAGACCGAUAGCGCACAAGUAGAGUGAUCGAAAGAUGAAAAGCACUUUGAAAAUAGAGUUAAAAAGUACGUGAAAUUGUUGAAAGGGAAGCGCUUGAGAUCAGACUUCGGUAGGGGGUGAUCAGCUGUCCUUCUGGGCGGUGCACUUGCCCCUCUCCGGGCCAGCAUCGGUUGAGGCGGCGGGAUAAAGGUCCCGGGAAUGUGGCUCCUUCGCGGGAGUGUUAUAGCCCGGGUGAAUGCCGCCAGUCUCGACCGAGGACCGCACCCGCAAGGGUUAGGAUGCUUGGCAUAAUGGUCUUCAGCGAC